UACGAAGGGGGCUAGCGUUGCUCGGAAUCACUGGGCGUAAAGCGCACGUAGGCGGCUUUUUAAGUCAGGGGUGAAAUCCUGGAGCUCAACUCCAGAACUGCCUUUGAUACUGGGAAGCUUGAGUCCGGAAGAGGUGAGUGGAACUCCGAGUGUAGAGGUGAAAUUCGUAGAUAUUCGGAAGAACACCAGUGGCGAAGGCGGCUCACAGGUCCGGUACUGACGCUGAGGUGCGAAAGCGUGGGGAGCAAACAGG
rnacentral:rRNA from 1 species